AUACGGAGGGUGCAAGCGUUAUUCGGAAUCACUGGGCGUAAAGGACGCGUAGGCGGGUUGGCAAGUCAGAUGUGAAAUCCUACAGCUUAACUGUAGAAUUGCAUUUGAAACUGCUAACCUAGAGUAUGGGAGGGGGAGAUGGAAUUAGUGGUGUAGGGGUAAAAUCCGUAGAUAUCACUAGGAAUACCGAAAGCGAAGGCGAUCUCCUGGAACAUAACUGACGCUAAGGCGUGAAAGCGUGGGGAGCAAACAGGAUUAGAUACCCUAGUAGUCC
rnacentral:rRNA from 1 species